AUUGAACGCUGGCGGCAUGCCUUACACAUGCAAGUCGAACGGCAGCACGGGAGCAAUCCUGGUGGCGAGUGGCGAACGGGUGAGUAAUAUAUCGGAACGUGCCCAGUCGUGGGGGAUAACGUAGCGAAAGCUACGCUAAUACCGCAUACGAUCUAUGGAUGAAAGCGGGGGAUCGCAAGACCUCGCGCGAUUGGAGCGGCCGAUGUCAGAUUAGGUAGUUGGUGAGGUAAAGGCUCACCAAGCCGACGAUCUGUAGCUGGUCUGAGAGGACGACCAGCCACACUGGGACUGAGACACGGCCCAGACUCCUACGGGAGGCAGCAGUGGGGAAUUUUGGACAAUGGGCGCAAGCCUGAUCCAGCAAUGCCGCGUGCAGGAUGAAGGCCUUCGAGUUGUAAACUGCUUUUGUACGGAACGAAACGGCGAGCUCUAAUACAGCUUGCUAAUGACGGUACCGUAAGAAUAAGCACCGGCUAACUACGUGCCAGCCGCCGCCGUAA
rnacentral:rRNA from 1 species